CAGUAGCCACGGUAAUACGAAGGGUGCAAGCGUUAAUCGGAAUUACUGGGCGUAAAGCGUGCGUAGGCGGUGAGUUAAGUCUGCUGUGAAAUCCCCGGGCUCAACCUGGGAAUGGCAGUGGAUACUGGCUCGCUAGAGUGUGUCAGAGGAUGGUGGAAUUCCCGGUGUAGCGGUGAAAUGCGUAGAGAUCGGGAGGAACAUCAGUGGCGAAGGCGGCCAUCUGGGACAACACUGACGCUGAGGCACGAAAGCGUGGGGAGCAAACAGGAUUAGAGACCCCCGUAGUCCCUGUCUCUUAUAA
rnacentral:rRNA from 1 species